GCUCCAAUAGCGUAUAUUAAAGUUGUUGCAGUUAAAAAGCUCGUAGUUGGAUUUCUGGGAGGGUGCCAAUGUCCGCUAACGUGCGUGCGCAGCGGCGCCUUCCAUCCUUCUGUUAACGCUUCAUGGCAUUCAUUUGCUGGUCGCGGGCUCAGAUAUUUUACCUUGAGAAAAUUAGAGUGUUUCAGGCAGCUAGGCCGGAA
rnacentral:rRNA from 1 species